CGGUGGGGCAAGGAGGGCAGCCCGGAGGGCAGCGGCCCCGGCCCGCGUGUGCGGCCCUCUUUUGCACGCCAACACCGCGCGGGCUGUGCCGGGCCCCGCCACACGUGCAGCUAUGGUGGGCCGACUGAGCCUGCAGGAUGUCCCCGAGCUCGUGGACACGAAGAAAAAAGGAGACGGCGUCCUGGACAGCCCGGACUCGGGGCUGCCCCCAAGCCCUAGCCCCAGCCACUGGGGGCUCGCAGCGGCGACGGGCGGCGGUGGGGAGCGCGCUCCGGUCGCAGGGACGCUGGAGCCCGAUGCGACGGUCACCUCCGUAGUCCCGGUGAGUUGCCUCGUGCGCGGACUUCUCCCUGCCCCGGCCCUCCCGCAGCCCUCCCCGAGGACUCCCCAGCUCUCGCUGUCGGUGCGGCCACCCGCCCGUCGAGACGGCGUGGCCAUCGCCGGGAGCCGGGGCGGGAGCGUAGCGAGAGAGCCUGGCCAGCUGGAGCCAGUGGCUGGAAAAUUGUCAUCGCCUGGGAGGCGCGGGAGCCCCGGGAGAGGCGAGCCGCGGUCUCCUCCCUUCGAGGUGGCGGCCCCCGAGGCUGCCAGGCUGCGGCUCGACCACAUUCCUGCUGGGGCGGGCUGGGUGGGGCUCCCGGGACACGGACAGGGAUCCCGGCCCUCCCCACCGGGGGCCCACACCCGGAGGCUUUGCUCCCAAAGCGGCCUCCCUUUGCCCGGACCUGGGAGAGGGGUGUGCUCUGGGUUCCUGGCGCAAGGCGGACCAGCCUUUGGGGGAACCUUCUGAGUAGUCACACACGAGCCUUCAGGGUCUGGUAGGUCCCUUUCCCAGCCAGUGUUCCGCACUUAAUGAGAUCAGCGAUCUCCAGGUGGCCAGGGCUUUGA
rnacentral:lncRNA from 1 species